UGGGAGAUCGUCUAAUGGUAGGACAACGGACUCUGACUCCGUGUAUCUAGGUUCGAAUCCUAGUCUCCCAGCCA
rnacentral:tRNA from 1 species